ensembl:misc_RNA
UCUCUGGAGGCACAUGCCAACAUCUGGACCUGCAACUGAGGCCAAACAUCGGGGUGGAAACGUGGCCCACGGUGACUCAGCUCCCCUGGGA